AACCAGUAAAGUUCUUGAAACCACUAUGGCUUAUUGCCUAGUCAGCAAUCUCAGCUUGACCAAGGGAGGAGGGGAGGAGGUUUUGGGUGCCACAGAAAGGGCAGCUUGACCCCGCGUCCUUCCUGGUAAGAAUUGUGUUGAAUUUGCUGAUACAUGCAUUUUAGGAGAGCAGGAUAUGCCCCAGGAAUGUCUAUUGGGGCCUCAAGGCUGAAAAACCCAUUGAUUGGUUAAUCAAUAAUCAGAAGGAAUCUCUUGCUUGACCAUUGAAACUGCUUACUUGACAAGUUUUCUUUAAGGGAUAUGCCACUCUAUUACUAAUGUAUAAAUAAGGGGGAAAAGUUUGAGGUAGUUGGACUCUUUUGGGACUUGUUUGGACUUUCCCUCUGGAUACAUCUUGCGGUCCCCACCGGCAGAUGGAAGAUUUGGCUACCGGAAGCCUGCCGCUGUGUCACUCAAGAGCCAUACUCAGCUUUGGUAAUUAUCAAGGGUUGGGGGUUUUUAACCGAAUCCGCCCUACACAUCAACCUCCUAGAGCUAUGAGCAGUCCACAAUGCCUGCCAAUGCUUUCUCCCACUGAUCGCACAUUGUACUAUCAGAAUCAUGAUGGACAAUAUUGCCUGCAUAUUCUACAUCAACAGACAAGGCAGAGUGAGUUCCCAUUCUCUAUGUUUGGAGGCAAUGAAAUUAUAGAACUGGUGUAUCCAACACAGCAUCACCAUCUCAGCCGCAUACCUUCCUGGAUCCAGAAUACUACCAUGGACUCAUUAAGCAGGAGAUUCUUCCACGAUCAUGAGUGGGAACUAGAUACAUUAGCCCUUCAGCACAUCUUCAACCACUGGGGAUUCUCCACCAUACAUCUCUUUCCCACACCGGAGAAUGGCCACUGCCCUCAAUUUUGCUCAAGAGCGGGCUUAGGACACAGAUCAGAUGCAUUCCUCAUCAAAUGGGAUGCGCUGCUACUCUAUGCCUUUCCUCCCUUCCCCCUUCUGUUCUGAGUACUCCACAAGAUCCCACGGGACUGAGCCCAUGUCAUCCUUAUAGCUCCGCCAUGGCCACAACAGAUCUGCUAUACUUACGUCAUUCACAUGACGGUAUGCCUGCCAAUCUCUCUCCGUCCGACUCUGCAACUUCUUUCACAGGAUGCAUCCUCUAUCCCAAUCCACAGCUGCUCCACCUGAAAUCAUGGCUCCUCCAUGGUUCCAGGACUCAGAAAUAACCUGUUUAGAAGCAGUUAAAUAAGUACUCUUGAACAGCAGGUCUGAUACGACUAGAUGCACUUACCUCCACAAUUGGACUGGAUUCCAAUCCUGGUGCACCUCCAAUCAGGUCAAGGCAACAAGCACUCCAUUACUACUUAUCCUGGACUAUAUUUGACACCUUAACAAUUGGGGUUAUCCAGAAGCUCCAUUUGUGUGCAUUUGGGAACCAUCAUGACUUUCCACUAGGAGAUAGAUAGCCACUCCGUCCUCACCCACCCACUCAUGAAACUAUUCCUGAAGGACCUCCAAAAUCUUUAUCCUAUGGGAUCCAACUCCAGCUUGGGACUCUGACCUUAUCAUAUGCUUUCUUUCUAGACCUCCAUUCAACUCAAUGGCAACAUGCUCCUAAUGUCCAUUUAUCUAUGAAAACAGCUUUUCUUGUCUCUAGCACCUCUGCCCGGUGGGUUGGUGAAAUUGGAGCAUGGUAUGGCAUACCCCUGUGGACAAUUUUUUCAUAAAGACAAGGUUACACUAUGUCCAUAUCCCAAAUUUUUACACAAGGUGCCAUCCUUUUUCCAGCUAAAUCAACCUAUUCACUUUCCGUGCUUCUUUCCAAACUAACACAGCAACCAACAGGAGGCAAUGUUGCACACCCUGGACAUCAGACAAGCAUUAGCUUUCUUACUGGACAGAACUAAACCUUUCAGAAAAUUGCCGCACUUAUUCCUCUCAACAGCUGAAAGACUGAAAGGCACUGCCAUUUCUAAGCAAUGCCUUUCCAAGUGGAUCUAA
ensembl:lncRNA